rnacentral:rRNA from 1 species
UACGGAGGGUGCAAGCGUUAUCCGGAUUCACUGGGUUUAAAGGGUGCGUAGGAGGGCAGGUAAGUCAGUGGUGAAAUCUCCAAGCUUAACUUGGAAACUGCCGUUGAUACUAUCUGUCUUGAAUACCGUGGAGGUGAGCGGAAUAUGUCAUGUAGCGGUGAAAUGCUUAGAUAUGACAUAGAACACCAAUUGCGAAGGCAGCUUACUAUGGUGUGAUUGACGCUGAGGCACGAAAGCGUGGGGAUCAAACAGG